GUGAUUAAAUCGAGCGUGUCUUCAUUGACCGCUCACCCUUCUCACCAUCCACAUACACCUGUGCACUGUUUAGCCAUGAGCCGGUUUUCCGGUCCAGGUUAUCAUUUCAUACAAACUCUAGUCUUAUGAAUGUAAACGUUUUAAUAACAUAAUA
rnacentral:misc_RNA from 1 species